ensembl:lncRNA
GGUUAAACCACCUCUCUGCUUUUUCCACCAACACAGCCACCCACUAACCAAACUGAAUAGGAGUUUUAGGCCAUCCUGUCCUAAUGUCACAGGGAGCAAAGCACAAAAGAGCACUAAGAGUUUGAGUGAUCCAGCGAGGUGAGGGGCCACUUAAAGAAUCAGGAUAAAAUAUCAAGAGCCUUUCCAAUGUCUAGAGGCAGACGGAGACAUUUGUUUUUUUUUUUUGCACUGCGGCUCUCUGAUAAGUAGUCCAGCGGAUAAGACCACUUGGUUAACAGGGUCCAAAGCCUGAAUUAAUCAUGCACUGAAAUAUAUCCCUCUCAGCACCACUGAAGCAUAACCACCCCUCCAACUUAAAACAGGUCUAUUAUAUGUGCGACUUGAUAAAAGAAGGACAUUGUGUUUCUGCCUUUUGAGAACAAUUUGGUGCAUAUGAUCAUGAUGUACUGUACCAGAACACAAGAAGGGUCACACACAAUAAAUGAAUGAAUGAAUGAAUGAAUGAAUGAAUGAAUGAAUGAAUGAAUGAAUGAAUGAAUGAAUGAGGAAUGUGUAUCUCGAACAAUUGUAUUUUAAGGUUCAAAAACUUUUCUUUUUUUUAUGAGUUGAUUAGUCUAAGAAAGUAUAUGCAAUCCAUUUGAAGUAGCCAUACAUUAUCAAUGAAUCAAACUGUUUAUUACAAACAUGCAGUUUUUCAUUCACAAUUUAUUACUUGUGGAUUAUUGUGUUGUUUUUAUUAGUUGUUUAGACUCUCAUUUUGAUGGCACCCAUUCACUGCUGAUGAUCCAUUUGUGAGCAAGUGGUGUAAUGCCAAAUUUCUCCAAAUCUGUUCUGAUGAAGAUACAAACUCAUCUACACAUUGGAUAGCCUCUCAUAAACACAGAAAACCUGAAGCUGUGGACAUCUUGGAUAAGGAUAUAGCAUCACCAGAGGCUGGAUCAGUUCAGGAAAGCAGGAUCAGUGAUCCUGCAGUUCCACAGAUGCAGAAGAGGCCGCAGAUGCGUGAUGGCAGUGGAGAUUUGGCUGUCAGUGGAGACUGCAGCUGAAUUGAUGAGCGAGGCCG